rnacentral:rRNA from 1 species
AAUCAACGCUGGCGGCGUGCCUAACACAUGCAAGUCGAACGCGAAAAGGGCUUCGGCUCUUAGUAGAGUGGCGAACGGGUGAGUAACACGUGGGUGACCUACCUUUGAAUGGGGGAGUAACGUCCCGAAGGGACGCUAAUACCGCAUAACAUCCUGCCUUUGAACAGGUGGAGAUCAAAGCCGGGGAUUGCAAGACCUGGCGUUUGGAGAGGGGCCCGCGUCUGAUUAGCUAGUUGGUGAGGUAACGGCCCACCAAGGCGACGAUCAGUAUCCGGCCUGAGAGGGCGGACGGACACACUGGGACUGAGACACGGCCAGACUCCUACGGGAGGCAGCAGUGGGGAAUUGUUCGCAAUGGGCGCAAGCCUGACGACGCAA